UCAUAUUAGCCUAUUCAUAUUAGCAUAUUAGGAUAUUAUAAUAUGGAGUUACCUGAACGAAAUAAAUUUAAGGUUUUGAAGAUUGGCGAACCCUAACACGGUCAGAGAGAAAUAGAGAAUCCUAUAUGGCUUCCUCCUCUUUGGCGAGAUCUAUUUAUUCUGUCCUAAUUAUCAUCAUCAUGAUUUCAACUCAUGCAGAUUCGAGAAAUCGAGAACUCGCUGUACCGCUUCACGGGGCUCCCGUAAACUUUGAACGGUUUAAACUGAGAGAAAUGUCCGAUCCAAGAUCCGAGUUUAAACUUAAACCGAGACGUGCCCCGGAUCCAAUACAUAAUUAACCCCUCUAGGCCAGGCUUGGCACAGGGAAUAUUUGUUAUAAGAAUUAAGUUCAAAUACUGUCGAUUCCCACAGCAUAUAUCUAUGUAUACUAUUAGCUUACAUGGUACUCACUCGAUCAGUAUGUUAGCAAAAUUUAACUAUAUUGUAUCAGUCAAUCGUUAGUUGUAUGGUUUGAUUUGUUGGUUGUAUUGGUGGAAUGUUCUGGGCCGAUUAUUAGUUACUCUCGGUAUAACUUUCAUGGCGACGUAUUUUUUUGAAACGAGGUCUUCGAUAACACGAUAUAAAGACCAAAUGAAGUUUUUGAAGGGAGACGUCCUUUGUACAGGGUGUAGGGUUCCAAACCUGCUUGAUGAAAAAGCUGUUUCUAUCUUA